GGGGGAGAAUGGGCAUCCCACCCCAGCACUUUCUAGGAAGAAGGGCAACAUUUUGAAGGGCUGGAAGUAGAGAAAGAAGGUUGCGGGUAGAAGACUCCAUACUUUCUGUGACGCCUAUUCCUUAGCUUGUGAUGAAUGUUUUCUCAGUAUCCUAUGCUGAAAACAGGUAGAUACUAAUCCCUCCUUCAAGGGAGGGCUGUUGAGUAUUGAAUAAGAUAAAAACAUGGAAGCAAUCAGCACAAUGCUGGAAUCAAGCCUAUCUGUAAUCACAGGGCUAUUUGAAAAAGAGAAGAAAAGGUGUCUUGAAAUUAAACCAACAUGUUUCAAUUAUUUGCUCCUAAGAACAACAGAAGUUUCAACAUUCUGCCAACACAGUAACUCCUGGGAGAUUGGCACAGAAGAAGGCACAAGAAUAUUUAAGCAGCUUUGUCUGCCUUAGACCUUCCACCUAAAAGUACAGCAAGUGGAAUGGAAUGCUAAUAUGAGGAUCCAAAUUUUCAGGGAAGGAGGAGAGCUUUUAUAUAACCAAAGAUAUUUUUGGACCAUGAAUUCGGAAAUUCUCGGAGCCACCCAUCAAUGCCUGAGCUUCAGUGAGUCCAUAUCCCAUGUCACCUACGGCAAAGGAGAAUCUGAGACUUCUGAAGAGUUUCUUGCUUCUUUCCUGUGGGGCAGUGACUCCACUUCCCAGCAGUAAUGGAAUAUCCUGAAUUAGCUACA
rnacentral:antisense_RNA from 1 species